GCCAGACUUCAAAGUAUAUAUUUGCACAAGCUCUCCGGAGACUGUCGCCUUCAGCACCGCCCGAGGCGGGCCAGUUUCCAUUGAAAUCUGAAGAAUUACGUCUGCAGACAAGUUCACGGUGUCGUCUUAGGGAGAUACUUCUGAGUUCCACUAGAGGGCAGCAGAAAAUGGGAGAGGAGAAGCCCUCCGUGAGUUCCCAUCAACUCAGCCCUCGCUGGACACCAGGCCUGCUAGAGACCAAAAGGUCAAAGCACCUAGAUCCACCAGCGGGGAUGAAACUCUGACGUGAUAACAGACACAAACUCAGCUUGGAAACAGCACCUGUGGCCCAGCCCAACGUUCAGGAACAUGAAGAAGUUAAUGAAUGGAUGCACAGUCCUAGGCUCCGUCUUCCUCAGCACCCUCUCCAGUUCACCACCCAAUCUCUUAGUUCCUUUGUAAAGGCUUAUCUGUAUUCUGUGAAGGUGUGCAUGCUUGCCUGUGAAUAUGUGCAUGUGAGUGCAGAACCCAGAGGCAUCGGAACCUGGAGCUGGAGUUAUGGACAGCUGUGAGCAUCUGACAGUGCCAGGGACUGAACUCAGGUCCUCUGGAAGAGCAGCAAACCACUGACUUAUCUCUGCAGCUCCAACACAUCUCCACAUCCGACUUCCUAUCUGCUACAUGGACACUAAAGCCCUCAUGGACAGUUUCCUCCGCGCUGAGAAUCAAGCCCAGAGCUCCGUGUGUCAGCUCCCACUGGUGAUGUCUCAGCCCUCACUCUCAUCUGAAUGACCAGCUUGGAACAGCCUCCUGGGUUUUUCAUAAUGCCUUCCACCACCCCUCCCCUCCAGUCGACCCAUUCCAUCAGUAACCACUUUAAAAGGCAAAAGAAAAGUGACUGAGUAGUAGUAGCAUAAACUGGUGGAUCUCAGUAAGCUCUGGGUUAGCCUCGUCUACCUAGUGAGUUCUAAGCUAGCCAGAGCUACUUAAUGAAAGCCUGUCUAAAAGAUUAAAAAGUGUUUCAUUAGAUGCUGAGAAAGCAUUUGACAAAAUUCAACACUGCUUCAUGAUAAGAGUCCUGGAAAGAACAGGACUUCAAGGCCCAUAUGCAAACAUAGUAAAAGACAUGUACAGUUAACCAGUAGCUAACAUUAAACUAGAUGGAGAGAAACUCGAAGUAAUCCCACUAAAAUCAGGGACUAGACAAGUGUGCCCACUCUCUCCCUACUUAUUUAAUAUAGUUCUCGAAGUCCUAGCCAGAGCAAUCAGACAGAUCAAAGGGAUACAGAUUGGAAAGGAAGAAGUCAAAAUAUCACUAUUUGCAGAUGAUAUGAUUUAUAUUUAAGUGACCCCAAAAGUUCCACCAGAGAACUACUAAACCUGAUAAACACCUUCAGCAAAGUGGCUGGGUAUAAAAUUAACUCAAAUAAAUCAGUAGCCUUUGUCUACACAAAAGAGAAACAAGCUGAGAAAGAAAUUAGGGAAACGAUGCCCUUCAUAAUAGACCCAAAUAACAUAAAAUACCUCAGUGUGACUUUAACCAAGCAAGGGAAAGAUCUGUAUGAUAAGAACUUCAAGCCUCUGAAAAAAGAAAUUGAAGAAGAUCUCAGAAGACGGAAAGAUCACCCAUGCUCAUGGAUUGGCAGGAUUAAUAUAGUAAAAAUGACCAUUUUACCAAAAGCAAUCUACAGAUUCAAUGCAAUCCCCAUCAAAAUUCCAACCCAAUUCUUCAUAGAGUUAGAUGGAACAAUUUGCAAAUUCAUCUGGAAUAACAAAAAACCCAGGAUAGCUAAAACAAUCCUCAACAAUAAAAGGACUUCCGGGGGAAUCACUAUCCCUGAACUCAAGCAGUAUUACAGAGCAAUAGUGAUAAAAACUGUAUGGUAUUGGUACAGAGACAGGCAGAUAGACCAGUGGAAUAGAAUCAAAGACCCAGAAAUGAACCCACACACCUAUGGGCACUUGAUUUUUGACAAAGGAGCCAAAACCAUCCAAUGGAAAGAAGAUAGCAUUUUCAGCAAAUGGUGCUGGUUCAACUGGAGGUCAGCAUGUAGGAGAAUGCAGAUGGAUCCAUUCUUGUCACCCUGUACAAAGCUUAAGUCCAAGUGGAUCAAGGACCUCUACAUCAAACCAGAUACACUCAAAAUAAUAGAAGAAAAAGUGGGGAAGAAUCUCAAACACAUGGGCACUGGAGAAAAUUUCCUGAACAAAACACCAAUGGCUUAUGCUCUAAGAUCAAGAAUCGAUCUUGGGGUUGGGGAUUUAGCUCAGUGGUAGAGCGCUUGCCUAGCAACCGCAAGGCCCUGGGUUCGGUCCCCAGCUCCAAAAAAAAGAAAAAAGAAAAAAAAAGAAUCAAUCUUAUGGAAUCUCAUAAAACUACAAAGCUUCUGUAAGGCAAAGGACACUGUUGUUAGGUUAAAAUGGCAACUGACAGAUUGGGAAAGAUCUUUACCAAUCCUACAACAGAUAGAGGACUUAUAGCCAAAAUAUACAAAAAACUCACGAAGUUAGAUUGCAGGGAGACAAAUAAAUAACCUUAUUAAAAAAUGGAGGGGUUGGGGAUUUAGCUCAGUGGUAGAGCGCUUGCCUAGCAAGCGCAAGGCCCUGGGUUUGGUCCCCAGCUCCGAAAAAAAGAAAAAAGAAAAAAAAAUGGAGUUCAGAGCUAAACAAAGAAUUCACAGCUGAGGAAUGCCGAAUGUCUGAGAAACACCUAAAGAAAUGUUCAACAUCUUUAGUCAUAAGGGAAAUGCAAAUCAAAACAACCCUGAGAUUCCACCUCACACCAGUCAGAAUGGCUAAGAUCAAAAACUCCGACAACAGCAGAUGCUGGCGAGGAUGUGGAGAAAGAGGAACACUCCUCCAUUGUUGGUGGGAUUGCAGACUGGUACAACCAUUCUGGAAAUCAGUCUGGAGGUUCCUCAGAAAAUUGGACAUUGAACUACCUGAGGACCCAGCAGCUAUACUUCUCUUGGGCAUAUACCCAAAAGAUGCUCCAACAUACAACAAAGACACAUGCUCCACUAUGUUCAUAGCAGCCUUACUUAUAAUAGCCAGAAGCUGGAAAGAACCCAGAUGCCCUUCAACAGAGGAAUGGAUACAGAAAAUAUGGUACAUCUACACAAUGGACUACUACUCAGCUAUCAAAACCAAUGACUUUAUAAAAUUCAUAGGCAAAUAUAUAGAACUGGAAAAUAUCAUCCUGAGUGAGGUAACCCAAUCACAGAAAAACACACAUGGUAUGCACUCAUUGAUAAGUGGAUAUUAGCCCGAAUGCUUGAAUUACCCAAGAUGCACAGAACACAUGAAACUCAAGAAGGAUGACCAAAAUGUGGAUGCUUCUCUCCUUCUUUAAAAGAAUACCCUUAGGAGAAGAUAGGGAGGCAAAGUUUAGAACAGAAACUGAAGGAACGCCCAUUCAGAGCCUGCCCCACAUGUGGCCCAUACGUAUACAGCCACCAAACUAGAUAAGAUGGAUGAAGCAAAGAGGUUCAGGCUGACAGGAACCGGAUGUAGAUCUCUCCUGAGAGACACAGCCAGAGUAUGGCAAAUACAUAGGUGAAUGCCAGCAGCAAACCACUGAACUGAGAGCGGGACCCCCAUUGAAAGAAUCAGAGAAAGGACUGAAAGAGCUGAAGGGGCUUGAGACCCCAUAUGAACAACAAUGCCAACCAACCAGAGCUUCCAGGGACUAAGCCACUACCCAAAGACUAUAUGGACUGACCCUGGGCUCCAAAUUCAUAGGUAGCAAUGAAUAGCCUAGUAGGGAUACCAGUGGAAGGGGAAGCCCUUGGCCCUGCCAAGGCUGGACCCUCAGUGAACGGGAUUGUUCGGGGGAGGGCAUGAAUGGGGGGAAGAUGGGGAGGGGAACACCCACAUUCUUAGAAGGGGAUCGAGAAGGGUUAUGGGGAUGUUGGCCUGGAAACCAGGAAAGGGAACAAUAUUUGAAAUGUAAAUAAGAAAUACCGAAUUUAAUAAAGAUGGAGAGGAAAAAAAUAAAAAGUGAUUGAUGUGGUUUUGGCAUUGGCUCAGUAUCUAGCCUGGUGGAGUCUUUCUCUGGCCCUAAUUCUGCUGUGUGGCUCUGAGCAUGUUCCCUCAUUCUCUGUGCUACAUUCCCACAUCUGUAAAUGGGGUUGAGUGCAGGAGCACAAGGCUUGACUAAGACAGUGGCUGUU